rnacentral:sRNA from 1 species
AUCUAGCCCCGAUGGGAGCAAGUAUCCCGCGCUUUUUGGCGUGAAUACUGCGGACAGCGGGACAACUC